rnacentral:rRNA from 1 species
GAUGAACGCUAGCGGCAGGCCUAAUACAUGCAAGUCGGACGGGAUUCGGGAGCUUGCUUCCGAUGAGAGUGGCGCACGGGUGCGUAACACGUAUGUAACCUACCUUUAUCAGGGGGAGUAGCCUCUCGAAAGAGAGAUUAAGCCCGCAUAACAUGAAGACACAGCAUUGUGAUUUCAUACAAAUAUUUAUAGGAUAGAGAUGGGCAUGCGGAACAUUAGCUAGUUGGUAAGGUAAUGGCUUACCAAGGCUACGAUG